CGGAAACCUUUAAUGAAUUUGCUUAUCUAUUGACACAUUUUUGGAGAGUUAUUCUCAGUUUACAGGAAGUCAAAAGUAUCAACAGAAGGUCUUUGUACAUAUGUAAAUUAGUCAUUUAUAUAAAAAAGAUCAAUGCCACAUUAUAUUUGAAAUAUAAUGCAGCACAGAGAAACUAUGAGGUAUGUAAAUAAGUUAAAACACACUACGCCACUUUUUGUUUGAUAUGCUUUCAGCCCUUUCACCCUACAGUAUGCUUCAAUACUGUAUAUGCAGUUAAUCUCAUUGUGGCUGCUACCAUACUUUUUCUUGGUGAAACUUUGCCUUUUUCUCAUGAUGUGGAUUAUAUUGGGACUCUGCCUCACCUCUUCAUUCAUUCACUCAGUUGAAAUGCUGCAGUGUGAUAGUUUUAAGAGUCCAGCCUGUGGGAAUCCAUUUUUCAUGGCUACUACUGGUGAAGUCUGUGCUGUUUUAAGGAUUGAUAGAAACACUUCAGAUGUCAAUACUUCAUGUAUCAUAAGGACCUCUUUGCCCAGAGCAUAUUGUUUGGAGCAGAAGGCGAGUAGUUCACCAGCCAUUGCAUCAAUUGGUUUAGGUUUUGUCAAUGCAGCUGUCAGUGUUUCCUGCUGCUCCACUGAUCACUGUAACAAUGCCAGUCUGCCUGACCCCAACAAUGACCCAAAUGGAUUAAAAUGUGUCUCAUGCAACAGCAGCACAGAUACACAGUGUAAUACUAAAGUGUCCUGUGUGGGAGUCCAGGACCUCUGCAUUGAUACAGGUAAUCCAGGACUCCUAGUUCAGACACUCUUUCCUUCCCUUGAACAUGCUAGACUCAAGGGUUGUGUCUCAAGAAAUCUUUGUGGACCUUCAUCCAUCACCAAGUUCAACUGCAUUAGCAAUUUAGGUUACCCGGCCAUCAAUAAUAGAGAAUUCAGACUUCCUUUGAUGGUCUUUAUUAUUGCUUUGUUCCUGUAAUUUCAAAUAUUAUUAUUAUCAUCAUUAUUAUUAUUAUAAUUGCUAUUAUUAUGUAUUCUUAAAUGCUUUGAAAAUGCAUACAAUCUGUAUUCUUGAAUCUUAUUAUGUAUAUACGUAAUUAAUUUUGCAUAAAAAUGAGUGCAUUAUUCAAGCAUCUUUUUUUCCUCUUGAAAACACUGAUGACCAACAAGUGUAAGGACACUGCAUGUCUAAGAAUGUUUUGACUAUCAACGUAAGCUGUGUCAUGCAUGAUUUAACAGUUGAUAAAUGGCCGGAGUAUGCGGUACAAAAAUUACAGACACAGAUCACAGACACUUUUCACAUUUAUGAGGUUCUCAAAAGCACAGUUUGUCAUAGUUGGGUAUCUGGUGAGCAGAAACUACAACACACACACACACACACACACACACACACACACACACACACAUAUAUAUAUAUAUAUAUAUAUAUAUAUAUAUAUAUAUAUAUAUAUAAUGAUAGGUUUCCAAUGUUAGUAACUGGAAAAUACUUCACAGUCUGUGAAAAAGAUCCAUGGCAGAGUCCAACUCUCAUAUCAAUCAUAAUAUGGAAAAGAGAUGCCAGUUCAUUCUUCAGUAUUUCUCAUUGUGUUUCAAGGAAGCAGAAAAAGUGAAACAAUGUGACGGCGAGUAAAUAAUGAAAUGUUAUUGUUUGGGUAUAUAUACUGAUACUGAUUUGGGAUUUUCCUUGGUUGUCAGUUAUAAUCAUCAAAAUUAAAAGAAAUAAACAUUUGAAAUAUAUCA
ensembl:lncRNA